rnacentral:lncRNA from 1 species
UUUCAUUCAAAUUUGAAAUAUAAAAGAGUUACAAUGUACAUUGACAGUUACCUAAUGUAUUUAACUGCCCCAACUAAUACAAACCUAAUCACUAGCCAAAAAAAUAAUCAAAUAUAGCUGACCAAUCAGCCAUUACAUCAAAAGAUCUUAUCACUAACUUAAGUUUAACUAGUAUUACAAACAAACUAAAAUUGAACCGAACCAAAUUACAUCAAAACAAAACAGCAAAGUUGGUUGCUUCAUUC